UCUGAUGUUGAGAGAGAAGGCGGGACGGCAACUCAGCGAGGCGGUCGACACCGGUCUCGCCGGCGCCUGACCCCGCCAGUAACAGGUCGAGAGAGAGGGAGAGAUCGGUUGAGGAGAAAAGGGAGGCCUUUGAUUUUCAUUGAGAGAGAGAGACAGAACCGAGAGACUUGGGGGGGAGAAAAAUGGGUGUUGGGCUUUUAUUUUUGUUAUUUUUGUUGUUGGGCUAAAGAUUGGGCUUUUUCAUUUUAAUUUCUUUGGGCUUUUGUUUUAUUUUAUCUUGGGCUGAAGUUUAAAUUAAUUAGAAUAGGCUGGGGAUUUAUUCAUUGGGCCAUGCAUUAUUUAAUUGAGUCCAAUCGUUUAUUCAGUAAUUGGGCCGAUUUUAUUCACUGUUCGGGCCUCGUAUUUUAUUCCGUUGGGCCGCCUCAUAUAUGUUCUAUGGGCCGUCCAGAUUUAUU
rnacentral:lncRNA from 1 species